rnacentral:tRNA from 1 species
GCAGUCGUGGCGGAGUGGUUAAGGCGGUGGACUAGAAAUCCAUUGGGGUCUCCCCGCACAGGUUCGAAUCCUGUUGACUGCG